GAAGACUAGAACAAGUUUUCUGGGAUUGUCUUCCACGCAAAGGGGAUGCUUCUCGAUCCACCGAAAACACACACACCGUCCUCUUGAAUGGCUUGCUGAAUCGUCUACGAGCUUUUUGCCAUUAUCAUCUCUCUAAAAUCUCCUUGAUUUCCCAAUUACCAAUUGCGGAAUCCUCGUUUCCUGUAAUCAAUUGCCGAAUCGAUUCUGG
rnacentral:misc_RNA from 1 species